rnacentral:pre_miRNA from 1 species
ACAAACGCCGCUAUAGAACAUGAUCUUUAGCGGGCGUUCUCCACAAACUUCGCUAAAGAACAUGACUUUAGCAGCGUUUUUUUAUGAGAAGUGUCGCUAAAGGUCAUGUUCUAUAGCGGCGUCCCACAUAA